UACGGAGGUGGCAAGCGUUGUUCGGAAUUACUGGGCGUAAAGGGCGCGUAGGCGGCUAGGCAAGUCAGGUGUGAAAGCCCCGAGCUUAACUCGGGAAUUGCAUCUGAAACUGCUGGGCUUGAGUUCUGGAGGGGGUAGUGGAAUUCCCAGUGUAGCGGUGAAAUGCGUAGAUAUUGGGAGGAACACCUGCGGCGAAGGCGGCUACCUGGACAGAAACUGACGCUGAGGCGCGAAAGCUAGGGGAGCGAACGGG
rnacentral:rRNA from 1 species